rnacentral:rRNA from 1 species
GACAGAGGAUGCAAGCGUUGUUCGGAAUUACUGGGCGUAAAGCGCGCGUAGGUGGUUUUGUGUGUCUGGUGUGAAAGCCCUUAGCUCAACUAAGGAAGUGCGCUAGAAACUGCAAAACUUGAAUUCGGGAGAGGAUGGUAGAAUUCUCAGUGUAGAGGUGAAAUUCGUAGAUACUGGGAGGUACACCGGUGGCGAAGGCGGCUACCUGGACAGAAACUGACGCUGAGGCACGAAAGCUAGGGGAGCAAACAGG